rnacentral:lncRNA from 1 species
GAGCUCGGGUGAUGAUGUUAGGGAUGUGGACCCAGAAUCCGAGGUAGCUUGUUCUUCAGAUAGAUCUAAAGUUUCGGACUUUGGUCCGUUUAAAAUAGACUCCGUCCUCACUCCCAAGGAUUUGGAGAUUAUUAUGAUAAAAUAUCAAGUCCCAACUGAGUUUAGGCUGGAGGUCAUCAUUCUCGAAGAAUGGAUAGCUCUUUCUUGUC